UGCUGACGGAAUUUCCUGUUAACAUUAUUAGCCAAUAAGCACUGCUCACAGACUAUAUAAACCAACAAUAUAGAGGGUGCCGAUAUCCAGAAUUAAUUCAUUUAUGCGAAAAAUGACAAAGUUAGCCAUAAUUGCAGUAGUGUUGUGCCUAGUAUCCACUUUUGUUGGUCAAACUGAUGCAAUUUGUGGUGGCAUUUGCCCUUGGUUUCCCAAAAGGUGUCACCUGUGCUGUAUUAGCCGUGGAUAUAGCGCUGGAGCAUGUGGACCACAUGUGUUUGGGUGCUUUUGUAUUAGAUAUUCAGGAUAAAAGGUUCGUAAUCAACGCAAUGAAGACUUAAAAAGGAAAGAAACAGAGUAACAGACGAAUUUAGAAAUAAAAAAAUAGUCUUGAAUUUUAGAUUAUUAAAAUGAGGAACAAAUAGAACAGUUUUCAUUGUGAACAUAUUUUAUUCAGAACAUUUUGCAUCCAUAGAUUUGAAAGCAGUGUCAUUUAUAAUCAAAUAAAAAAGAUCCUGUU